GGGAGCGGCGGACGGGUGAGUAACGCGUGGGUAACCUGCCCUGUACACACGGAUAACAUACCGAAAGGUAUGCUAAUACGGGAUAACAUAAGAAAGUCGCAUGGCUUUCUUAUCAAAGCUUUUGCGGUACAGGAUGGACCCGCGUCUGAUUAGCUAGUUGGUAAGGUAACGGCUUACCAAGGCGACGAUCAGUAGCCGACCUGAGAGGGUGAUCGGCCACAUUGGAACUGAGACACGGUCCAAACUCCUACGGGAGGCAGCAGUGGGGAAUAUUGCACAAUGGGCGAAAGCCUGAUGCAGCAACGCCGCGUGAGCGAUGAAGGCCUUCGGGUCGUAAAGCUCUGUCCUCAAGGAAGAUAAUGACGGUACUUGAGGAGGAAGCCCCGGCUAACUACGUGCCAGCAGCCGCGGUAAUACGUAGGGGGCUAGCGUUAUCCGGAAUUACUGGGCGUAAAGGGUGCGUAGGCGGUCUUUCAAGUCAGAAGUGAAAGGCUACGGCUCAACCGUAGUAAGCUUUUGAAACUGUAAGACUUGAGUGCAGGAGAGGAGAGUGGAAUUCCUAGUGUAGCGGUGAAAUGCGUAGAUAUUAGGAGGAACACCAGUUGCGAAGGCGGCUCUCUGGACUGUAACUGACGCUGAGGCACGAAAGCGUGGGGAGCAAACAGG
rnacentral:rRNA from 1 species